AAGCCACGGCUAACUACGUGCCAGCAGCCGCGGUAAUACGUAGGUGGCAAGCGUUGUCCGGAAUUACUGGGUGUAAAGGGAGCGCAGGCGGGUGAUCAAGUCAGCUGUGAAAACUACGGGCUUAACCCGUAGACUGCAGUUGAAACUGUUCAUCUUGAGUGAAGUAGAGGUUGGCGGAAUUCCGAGUGUAGCGGUGAAAUGCGUAGAUAUUCGGAGGAACACCGGUGGCGAAGGCGGCCAACUGGGCUUUAACUGACGCUGAGGCUCGAAAGUGUGGGGAGCAAACAGGAUUAGAUACCCUGGUAGUCCACACUGUAAACGAUGAUUGCUAGGUGUGGGGGGUCUGACCCCUUCCGUGCCGGAGCUAACGCAAUAAGCAAUCCACCUGGGGAGUACGACCGCAAGGUUGAAACUCAAAGGAAUUGACGGGGACCCGCACAAGCAGUGGAUUAUGUGGUUUAAUUCGAAGCAACGCGAAGAACCUUACCAGCACUUGACAUCCAACUAACGAAAUAGAGAUAUAUUAGGUGCCCUUCGGGGAAAGUUGAGACAGGUGGUGCAUGGUUGUCGUCAGCUCGUGUCGUGAGAUGUUGGGUUAAGUCCCGCAACGAGCGCAACCCUCGCCAUUAGUUGCUACGCAAGAGCACUCUAAUGGGACCGCUACCGACAAGGUGGAGGAAGGUGGGGACGACGUCAAAUCAUCAUGCCCCUUAUGUGCUGGGCUACACACGUAAUACAAUGGCCAUCAACAGAGAGAAGCAAUACCGCGAGGUGGAGCAAAACUUCAAAAAUGGUCUCAGUUCGGACUGCAGGCUGCAACCCGCCUGCACGAAGUUGGAAUUGCUAGUAAUCGUGGAUCAGCAUGCCACGGUGAAUACGUUCCCGGGUCUUGUACACACCGCCCGUCACACCAUGGGAGCCGGUAACACCCGAAGUCAGUAGUCUAACCGCAAGGAGGACGCUGCCGAAGGUGGGAUUGGCGACUGGGGUGAAGUCGUAACAAGGUAGCCGUAUCGGAAGGUGCGGCUG
rnacentral:rRNA from 1 species